rnacentral:rRNA from 1 species
GAUGAACGCUGACAGAAUGCUUAACACAUGCAAGUCCACUUGAACUUCGGUUUGGGUGGCGGACGGGUGAGUAACGCGUAAAGAACUUGCCUCACAGCUAGGGACAACAUUUGGAAACGAAUGCUAAUACCUGAUAUUAUGAUUUUAGGGCAUCCUAGAAUUAUGAAAGCUAUAUGCGCUGUGAGAGAGCUUUGCGUCCCAUUAGCUAGUUGGAGAGGUAACGGCUCACCAAGGCGAUGAUGGGUAGCCGGCCUGAGAGGGUGAACGGCCACAAGGGGACUGAGACACGGCCCUUACUCCUACGGGAGGCAGCAGUGGGGAAUAUGGGACAAUGGACCAAGAGUCUGAUCCAGCAAUUCUGUGUGCACGAUGAAGUUUUUCGGAAUGUAAAGUGCUUUCAGUUGGGAAGAAAAAAAUGACGGUACCAACAGAAGAAGUGACGGCUAAAUACGUG